rnacentral:rRNA from 1 species
AGUGAACGCUGGCGGUAGGCCUAACACAUGCAAGUCGAACGGCAGCACAGUAAGAGCUUGCUCUUACGGGUGGCGAGUGGCGGACGGGUGAGGAAUACAUCGGAAUCUACUUUUUCGUGGGGGAUAACGUAGGGAAACUUACGCUAAUACCGCAUAAGACCUACGGGUGAAAGCAGGGGAUCUUCGGACCUUGCGCGAUUGAAUGAGCCGAUGUCGGAUUAGCUAGUUGGCGGGGUAAAGGCCCACCAAGGCGACGAUCCGUAGCUGGUCUGAGAGGAUGAUCAGCCACUCGGGAAGUGAGACACGGUCCAGACUCCUACGGGAGGCAGCAGUGGGGAAUAUGGGACUAUGGGCGAGAGCCUGAUCCAGCCAUACCGCGUGGGUGAAGAAGGCCUUCGGGUUGUAAAGCCCUUUUGUUGGGAAAGAAAAGCAGCAGGUUAAUACCCCGCUGUUCGGACGGUACCCAAAGAAUAAGCACCGGCUAACUUCAU